rnacentral:misc_RNA from 1 species
GUACCGGUACGCGCUUACCAGCCCCAACAGCAGCUGCAAUACGUAUACGUACGUACGUGUUUAGUCUCGCUCUAGCACGGCCAGGUGCCAGCCCUCACAGUCACAGCCCAGAACCAGAAAGAAGACAGACGGAGAAGGAGAGAAGCAGCGCGUACACUGGCGUUGGCGUCCCUGACGCGGUACGCGACGUCCUCCUCGAGCGAGCGGUGGUAGAGCGCCUGGUACGCGCGGCGGGCGCCGAGCAGGUCGUCGGCGGUGCGCGUGCAGGCGACCUCGACGAGGAUGUGCGGCGGGUGCGCCUUGUGCAGCACGUGGUGCGCCCAGCGCGCGUCGCGCUCCCACGGGUGCAUCGCCCACAGCACCGCCGCGUCCUUGAAGCGCGCGAACUCCGCCUUGAGGUGCAGCAGGUACUCGUCCUCGCACCGCUCGAUCCCGGCGCCGGCGCUCGACGAGAAGAAGCCCGGGAAGCCGCGCCGGAACUGCGCCCGCUUCUCCGGCUCCCGCCGCCACCGCCCCAGCGCGGACACCAGCGCCGUCUCGUCCACGCCCAGCCCGCCCAGACCUUCAUCCAUCCAAUAAUCCAUUGUAGUGUGGUGUGGAUCGAGCGUGUCUUCAUUUCCCAACGUCGUGCCAGAGGAAAGGAACCCAUCCGCGCAUGGCCAACGUAUACACAAGUGUAACUAAUGAUAACAAUGUACCGUACCCGCGAAGGCCCUGGUGAGGUCUUGGUGCUCGUCGGCCAUGGGCGGCGGCGCCUCCUUCUCCUUGUUCUGCGGGUCCCUUUCCUUCCUAGGCGCCUGCUGCCUGAGACGCGGCUGCGGCGACGCCGGCGGUGACGUCGCCGCGCUGCUGCUGCUGCCGCCGGUUUGUGCGAGGAACUGCUGCAUUGCCUUCGCGCCACGAGUCUCACGACUAGUCCAGUCCUGGUGCGGGUCAAGGUCAAAUGCUUGCUUAUUUAUAGAGUAAUAGUGCCUACUACUACUAGCAUUCUCUCUAUAUCCUUCGUGCAGACAGGUUUAUUCAGUUUUUUCUAAAAUAACCGGACGCAUGCAUGUUAGGGAAUCAAUUCAGAUUAUGAAACAGCCUGAAUAAAUUAAUGCAGGUCUAUGGCGUUUAUUUGGGAGCGUUUGGUAGCGCUCCGAGAAGGCGAGAACCAGCAGCGCGCCUCUUCGACCACUAGCGUCACGUGCCCCGCUCUCUGCAGCAGGAAAAGACCGAUAAAGCUUCAUCGAUCAGCACCAUUCGCCCGAGGCCGGUAUGUUCAGAAUUAAGGUGUUCGCUGCAGCAUUAAGGUGUAGCUGCAGUUUAAUUACUAGUACAAAAGUACCGUACAUUGAAAUUAAAAUGUCACAGACCACACUGCAGUAAAAAAACGUUUCUACACGAGAGAGAUAGAGGACUUAAUCGUAUGCUGAGUUUAAGGGAAAAAGUGAACUCC